rnacentral:rRNA from 1 species
GAUGAACGCUGGCGGCGUGCCUAAUACAUGCAAGUCGAGCGAACAGACGAGGAGCUUGCUCCUCUGACGUUAGCGGCGGACGGGUGAGUAACACGUGGAUAACCUACCUAUAAGACUGGGAUAACUUCGGGAAACCGGAGCUAAUGCCGGAUAAUAUAUUGAACCGCAUGGUUCAAUAGUGAAAGACGGUUUUGCUGUCACUUAUAGAUGGAUCCGCGCCGCAUUAGCUAGUUGGUAAGGUAACGGCUUACCAAGGCAACGAUGCGUAGCCGACCUGAGAGGGUGAUCGGCCACACUGGAACUGAGACACGGUCCAGACUCCUACGGGAGGCAGCAGUAGGGAAUCUUCCGCAAUGGGCGAAAGCCUGACGGAGCAACGCCGCGUGAGUGAUGAAGAUCUUCGGAUCGUAAAACUCUGUUAUUAGGGAAGAACAAAUGUGUAAGUAACUAUGCACGUCUUGACGGUACCUAAUCAGAAAGCCACGGCUAACUACGUG